GGGUUCUGAAUGCUUAUUGCACCACAUGUGUUUUUCUUUGAAACAAACUUGCUUUGGCGGUGGGCCCAGCCUGCCGCCAGAGGUCUAAACUUACAACCAAUUUUUUAUCAACUUGUCACACCAGAUUAUUACUUAAUAGUCAAAACUUUCAACAACGGAUCUCUUGGUUCUCGCAUCGAUGAAGAACGCAGCGAAAUGCGAUACGUAAUAUGAAUUGCAGAUAUUCGUGAAUCAUCGAAUCUUUGAACGCACAUUGCGCCCUCUGGUAUUCCGGAGGGCAUGCCUGUUUGAGCGUCGUUUCUCCCUCAAACCGCUGGGUUUGGUGUUGAGCAAUACGACUUGGGUUUGCUUGAAAGACGGUAGUGGUAAGGCGGGAUCGCUUUGACAAUGGCUUAGGUCUAACCAAAAACAUUGCUUGCGGCGGUAACGUCCACCACGUAUAUCUUCAAACUUUGACCUCAAAUCAGGUAGGACUACCCGCUGAACUUAAGCAUAUCAAAAGCCCGGAGGAA
rnacentral:rRNA from 1 species